rnacentral:ncRNA from 21 species
GGUCGGGUGGAGAGGCGUAAUACAAUACCCGCAAGGGGAAUAUGCCCGGAGCAUCUUUGAAGGCUCUAGUUGACACCCGAUCACCAGCCA